UCCUUAAGGAUGUUCGCUACUCUGUUAAAAAAUAACAAGCUUUUUAAAAGACUGUUAUGGAUUGAUAGUAUAUAAAUAAAGAAACUAAAAUAGAUGAAAAAAAUGGAGGGUCCGUGUGCUCGUUUUCGAGAUAUAAGCCCUUGAAAAUUUGGCGGGAAAUAAAUCUCUCUAGAUUUUUCAUAUAUUUAACAUUGGCACCUUAUCUGUUUCAAAAAGUAUGAAAAAAUAACAAGAAUUUUAAAUAAUUUUGAAAUAUGGCUUUUCAAGCUUAAUGUAAUAAAAUUAAGAAAAGAAAAUUUGGGGUUAGUGGGCA
rnacentral:lncRNA from 1 species